rnacentral:rRNA from 1 species
UACGUAGGGUGCGAGCGUUACUCGGAAUACUGGGCGUAAAGCGUGCGCAGGCGGUGAUGUAAGACAGGUGUGAAAUCCCCGGGCUUAACCUGGGAAUGGCAUUUGGGACUGCAAGGCUUGAGUGCGGCAGAGGAGACUGGAAUUCCUGGUGUAGCAGUGAAAUGCGUAGAUAUCAGGAGGAACACCGAUGGCGAAGGCAGGUCUCUGGGCUGACACUGACGCUCAUGCACGAAAGCGUAGGGGAGCGAAACAGGAU